UACGUAGGGGGCAAGCGUUGUCCGGAAUCAUUGGGCGUAAAGCGCGUGUAGGCGGCCCAGUAAGUCCGCUCUGAAAGCCCGGGGCUUAACCCCGGGAGGCGGGUGGAUACUGCUGGGCUCGAGUCCGGAAGAGGCGAGUGGAAUUCCCGGUGUAGCGGUGAAAUGCGCAGAUAUCGGGAGGAACACCAAUGGCGAAGGCAGCUCGCUGGGACGUGACUGACGCUGAGACGCGAAAGCGUGGGGAGCGAACAGG
rnacentral:rRNA from 1 species